rnacentral:rRNA from 1 species
UACGAAGGGGGCUAGCGUUGCUCGGAAUCACUGGGCGUAAAGCGCACGUAGGCGGACUCUUAAGUCGGGGGUGAAAUCCUGGAGCUCAACUCCAGAACUGCCUUCGAUACUGGGAAACUUGAGUCCGGGAGAGGUGAGUGGAACUGCGAGUGUAGAGGUGAAAUUCGUAGAUAUUCGCAAGAACACCAGUGGCGAAGGCGGCUCACUGGCCCGAUACUGACGCUGAGGUGCGAAAGCGUGGGGAGCAAACAGG